rnacentral:rRNA from 1 species
GACGACGCUGGCGGCGUGCUUAACACAUGCAAGUCGAACGGAGUUACGUAUGAAGUAUUUCGGUACGGACUAUGUAACUUAGUGGCGAACGGGUGAGUAACACGUGGGCAACCUGCCCUUAACCGGGGGAUAACAUUGUGAAAACAGUGCUAAUACCGCAUAACAGAGUAUCGGGCAUCCGAUAUUUUAAAAGGAGCAAUCCGGUUUAGGAUGGGCCCGCGUCCAAUUAGCUAGUUGGUGAGGUAACGGCUCACCAAGGCUACGAUUGGUAGCCGAACUGAGAGGUUGAUCGGCCACAUUGGGACUGAGACACGGCCCAGACUCCUACGGGAGGCAGCAGUGGGGAAUAUUGGGCAAUGGGCGAAAGCCUGACCCAGCGACGCCGCGUGAAGGAUGAAGGUCUUCGGAUUGUAAACUUCUUUGAUCAGGGAAGAAAGAAAUGACGGUACCUGAAGAACAAGCCACGGCUAACUACGUG